rnacentral:pre_miRNA from 1 species
CAGUGCUGGUGUCUCAGGAGGCAGCGCUCGUCGGGUGUCUCCACCAUGGUCUGGGUUCUGCUCUUUCUCAAACUUCCUCGGAAGA